UUUACGGAGAGUUUGAUCCUGGCUCAGGAUGAACGCUGGCGGCGUGCUUAACACAUGCAAGUCGAACGGUGAACUAGGAGCUUGCUCUUGGGGAUCAGUGGCGAACGGGUGAGUAACACGUGAGCAACCUGCCCCUGACUCUGGGAUAAGCGCUGGAAACGGCGUCUAAUACUGGAUACGAACAGCGACCGCAUGGUCAGUUGUUGGAAAGAUUAUUGGUUGGGGAUGGCUCGCGGCCUAUCAGCUUGUUGGUGAGGUAAUGGCUCACCAAGGCGUCGACGGGUAGCCGGCCUGAGAGGGUGACCGGCCACACUGGGACUGAGACACGGCCCAGACUCCUACGGGAGGCAGCAGUGGGGAAUAUUGCACAAUGGGCGCAAGCCUGAUGCAGCAACGCCGCGUGAGGGAUGACGGCCUUCGGGUUGUAAACCUCUUUUAGCAGGGAAGAAGCGAAAGUGACGGUACCUGCAGAAAAAGCACCGGCUAACUACGUGCCAGCAGCCGCGGUAAUACGUAGGGUGCAAGCGUUAUCCGGAAUUAUUGGGCGUAAAGAGCUCGUAGGCGGUUUGUCGCGUCUGCUGUGAAAUCUGGGGGCUCAACCCCCAGCCUGCAGUGGGUACGGGCAGACUAGAGUGCGGUAGGGGAGAUUGGAAUUCCUGGUGUAGCGGUGGAAUGCGCAGAUAUCAGGAGGAACACCAAUGGCGAAGGCAGAUCUCUGGGCCGUAACUGACGCUGAGGAGCGAAAGGGUGGGGAGCAAACAGGCUUAGAUACCCUGGUAGUCCACCCCGUAAACGUUGGGAACUAGUUGUGGGGUCCAUUCCACGGAUUCCGUGACGCAGCUAACGCAUUAAGUUCCCCGCCUGGGGAGUACGGCCGCAAGGCUAAAACUCAAAGGAAUUGACGGGGACCCGCACAAGCGGCGGAGCAUGCGGAUUAAUUCGAUGCAACGCGAAGAACCUUACCAAGGCUUGACAUAUACGAGAACGGGCCAGAAAUGGUCAACUCUUUGGACACUCGUAAACAGGUGGUGCAUGGUUGUCGUCAGCUCGUGUCGUGAGAUGUUGGGUUAAGUCCCGCAACGAGCGCAACCCUCGUUCUAUGUUGCCAGCACGUAAUGGUGGGAACUCAUGGGAUACUGCCGGGGUCAACUCGGAGGAAGGUGGGGAUGACGUCAAAUCAUCAUGCCCCUUAUGUCUUGGGCUUCACGCAUGCUACAAUGGCCGGUACAAUGGGCUGCAAUACCGUGAGGUGGAGCGAAUCCCAAAAAGCCGGUCCCAGUUCGGAUUGAGGUCUGCAACUCGACCUCAUGAAGUCGGAGUCGCUAGUAAUCGCAGAUCAGCAACGCUGCGGUGAAUACGUUCCCGGGUCUUGUACACACCGCCCGUCAAGUCAUGAAAGUCGGUAACACCUGAAGCCGGUGGCCUAACCCCUCGGGGAGGGAGCUGUCGAAGGUGGGAUUGGUAAUUAGGACUAAGUCGUAACAAGGUAGCCGUACCGGAAGGUGCGGCUGGAUCACCUCCUUU
rfam:Microbacterium sp. CH12i Contig1, whole genome shotgun sequence.